AACGAACGCUGGCGGCAUGCCUAACACAUGCAAGUCGAACGAGACCUCCGGGUCUAGUGGCGCACGGGUGCGUAACGUGUGGGAACCUGCCCUUAGGUUCGGAAUAACUCCCCGAAAGGGGUGCUAAUACCGGAUAAUGUCUUCGGACCAAAGAUUUAUCGCAUUUGGAUGGGCCCGCGUUGGAUUAGCUAGUUGGUAUGGUAAAAGCCUACCAAGGCGACGAUCCAUAGCUGGUCUGAGAGGAAGAUCAGCCACACUUGGACUGAGACACGGCCCAGACUCCUACGGGAUGCAGCAGUGGGGAAUAUUGGACAAUGGGCGAAAGCCUGAUCCAGCAAUGCCGCGUGAGUGAUGAAGGCCUUAGGGUUGUAAAGCUCUUUUACCCGGGAUGAUAAUGACAGUACCGGGAGAAUAAGCUCCGGCUAACUCCGUG
rnacentral:rRNA from 1 species